GAAUGUGAGGGCGAUCUGGCUGUGACAUCUGUCACCCCACUGAUCACCAGGGUUGAUGUGACUGAUCUGGCUGGCCAGGCGGUGUCCCCUCCCUCCCUCAGGGCUCCACGUGCAUCCCUCCUGGUGCUGCACACUCAAAGAGGACAGCCCUCCCCAACAGAGGAGGACCUUUCUUCAGUCAAGGGUAUAACCAGCAGCUGCGCUCCCCUGCUAGAACCUCCAAACAAGCUCUCAAGAAAUUAGAAAAACAAGAACAAAAUAAAGCCAAAGCAAAGGAAGGAAAUAAUAAAGAGCAGUUA
rnacentral:snRNA from 1 species